ensembl:lncRNA
CCUUGCAGCCUUUCCCCAGGCCUUUAGCCAGCUGUGUGCUGGGGCGGCCUGAGGAAGAGCUGCAGGGCAGACCCUGCCCCUCCACCCCGCUGCGGCCUUCCUCCCAGCAAGUCCUCACCUCACUUCCUGCGCUUUUAUUUGAGGAGAAACCCUGCUUCUCCACCAGCUGUUGCUGGAGUCUGAUGUGCUUUUCUCCUGCCUCUCAAGCCCAGCCUGUUGGCAGACUCUGGGCCCCGUCCCACCGCCAGGGACUUGGUGGGGAGCUCCCCUGCUCAGCUUUGCUCGGCACAGGCUUUCUUUGCCAGGAAGAAUCCUGCUCACCUCAAAGAUAUUUCUGGGGAUGACAUUUCUCAUUGCACGACAGCGGAAGUACGUUGGAAAUCUCAGCCACGGACAAUUGCAAUACUUUUAUCAGAAAGAAACUAUGCUGUGAUCCAGCUCCUUCUCCCCCAGCCCCUUCUCUGGGUCAACUUAUGCAAGCCAUAUUCAUGACACUGCCUGUGGGAGACAAGUAGUUUGUGUGCUAUCAUGGUGUGUUUUAUAAGGACGAUGAGGAUGAUUUAUGGAGAAUUUUGUGCUGUUUGGAGUUAAUUCCUGCUACAAAGCUAAAUGUAUGCUGCCCAUGUUCUGAAUAGUGGAAAGUCAAUGGUUCAGUGCCUCAGUGCGUGUGGAUUGUGUGUGUUAACUGACUCCGUCCUAUUAACUAACAAGCCAGCUAUAAGUGUUGUUAAAUGCCCAACUUUUGAGAAUUCAUAUUUUUUUAAGCAACAAUAUUUAGUGUUUAAAAGUAGCCUUUUAGUUUAGGCCAAAUGUGCUUUUUAGCAGCUAAUACCUUUUUUUUAAAAAAAAAGAAAAAAGCAUAUAGAGUGAAUUUAUGAAAACUCAUGAGGACCAAAGCAAUUUUAAAACAGGAAUCUAUUAAUUUAGUAUUCACAUAGAAUUUUAUAAAGUAUUUAUUAAUAAAUGUUAUUUUAACACAUUCCAUUUGAACAGUAUUCUUGUACAGAAUCUGUUUGGUUUUGUUUUUAUUUUUUUUCUUUUCAUUUAAAGUUACAAUAUUAGUUUUGCAAUAAAGUGCUCGAGGUGUGUGUGCAUCUUAAUCUUUCAGGGUCUCAAGCAGAAGGCAUCCAUCUAAGAUGGAAAAGUUUGCUGAGGUCAGUUGUACAGAAAUUCCUAGAAUUAAAUGUUUUCCUUAAAGCAGCAUCUGCUUUUUUUUUUUUUUUUUUUUUUUUUUUUUUUUUUUUUUUUUAAAUAACAGCAAAAUGAAUUACAAACCUUCAGUUGUUUCCUCUGUAUUGGAAAAUAUGCUCUCUCGUUUUAGAAAGCAUGGGUCAACAUAUAACUGGAAAGCCUGUCUUUUUUUUUCCUCUCUUUUUUUUUUAAAGACUGAUUACGUACAUCACCAUGGAAGAUCUAACCCCAUUCUUGUUUCUCUUCUAAUACCACAUAGUGAGUUGCACUAUACUGCCUUAUCAUUGCUUCUUCUGUCCUCUUACUAAGCAGUGUUCCUUAGAUGUAGACCAUUGAAACUCCAUUAUGCAUCAGAUAAAGUUACUGAAGGGGGAAGAAGAAAAAAAGAUUGAUCUGUAGACGUGAAAACUAAACUGUGCCUAUAAAACAAAACCAGUUCCAACUAAUUAGUUCCUUAUUUCUACGUUUCAAUUAUUUAUAUUAUUUUAAAAUUGCACUUUAGCUCUCGCUCUCUUUCUUGCUCUCCCUUGUUAAGUCAUUUAUAAUUCUCUUGUAAGACGUUUGCACCAGAUACAUUUAUAUGCUUUCACUGGUGGCAUAUCUACAACUUUCUGUGACUUAGACUUUACACCCUCUUCAUGAUAGCAUAUAAAUGUUUAAUUAUGCAAAGUGUGUGAGGCAGCAUCUAAGCUACGUUUAUAAUCUCUCAUCCUGAGAACCAAAGUGUCCUGUAUAGCAUAAGGUCAGGAGACCGGCUCUGUUGUGCAUGAUAAUGCACUUUGACUGUUGUCCAACCCGCGGUAGCUGUGACGCUGCAGUGAUAACAGUGGCCAUACUGUGUAUUAAAAGUCUAAAUCAAUAAAAUAUGUUGCCUUAUAACUUGACUAGGGACAGCACCUUUAAAAAAAAAAAAAAAGACUAAGAAAAGAGACUAAAAACUUCUAAGGACAAAUAAAGCAAUAAAAUCUUAAGCGAUCUAAACACCAAAAAAAAAACCAAAAAAUCAUUCAUUUUUUCAUCAUCUGAAUUCAUCAUCUUGUUGCAAAGACUGUUUAUAUCAGUAACAUUUUUUCAGAGCUUAUGGUUAUCUCGGUUUUAUCAGUAGCUUUACACACAGAGCUAAAUUGCUUACUGUUGUUGGUUUUACAUAGCUUUCAAAACUACUUUAUAGCAAAUCUUAAAACUCUGUGAGGCCAAAAAUGUCAGUGUUUGCAUACGCUCACAAAGAGAUUGAUUCGCUAAGUGGAAAUCCGAUCCUUUCCCAGGCUCUCCUUGGAUUGGAAUCAAUAAUUGCAACUUGCUAUAUUUAGGCUGAUGUGUAAUACCUGGUAUUCAGGAUCUCCAGUUCUGUAUUUAUGCAAAUUAAAUGUUACUUAUGCUAAGUUUCCCUGGGUGGAACUUUUCCUGACCCCCCCACAAAGCAGCACGCCAGCUCGUGUUGCAAGACAACGAGACCCAAAUCUCUUUUUGGCUAAAAUAUGUGCAGCAGUUUUCUGAACGAAGACUGUAAGCUCAUUCUGCCUUUACAGCAAUUGCAGCAGUGUCAGGAAAUAAGGGACUGGGGGCUGAUAGUGUAUCUGAAGGGAAAUGUCUUCCUUACUGGAUUCUAGGAAAUUCCAGAGCAUUUCUUCCCCCCACCCAGAGGAGCUGGGGUUGCAAAGAUAUCAGAGACAACCUUUACCAUGCUUCCAAAAGAGAAAACAUUUUGCAUGCAAGGUGUGCUCGCUCUUCAAAGUGAGAGUAAUCGCCACCGAGAGUUUUGCCAAGAACUUUAUAAUCUGAACCCCAGCGUUUCCCAGCCCAUGCUGGUGAGCUCUGUACUUUUCUCUGUAACAGCUCAAUUUAAACACUGGGUAGCAAUCAUCCGUGAAAGUCGCUUCUUUGGAAUAUUGUCAUUGUCCUGGUUUUAAGGAACUUUUAGCACUGCUUGGAGUAAGCCUAAACUAUCGAAGUUUAUAUAUAAAUAUAUAUAUAUUAUAUUAAAAAGGUGCUGUCACAGUAAGUUUUGGGCUUGAGGUCGUUUGUAUUGUAUGCAAAGGUUUUAUGUUUGUUUGUCUGUUUUAUUCUGUAAAGCAACCACCUUCCUUACUGGAGGGAGAUAAUUUUUUUUUUUGGUACAUAAGUGUAAAUACUUGCUGCAGCAUUUAAUAUGUUUAAUUUUAUGUUAAGCUUUUUGUUGCAUUGUGAACCCAUUAUUGUUGCAAAUGGACAAUGAGUUCAUUGAGACUGUUCAACUAGGUCAGAUUUUUACAUCUCUUUCUAGCUAGAAGAGACGGGAUUUUUGUGCAUUUGUACAAAUGUUAAUAAUAUCACUGCAAUUCCAAUAUAAUAAAGCACUCAAAUACAA